UACGAAGGGGGCUAGCGUUGCUCGGAAUCACUGGGCGUAAAGCGCACGUAGGCGGAUUGUUAAGUCAGGGGUGAAAUCCUGGAGCUCAACUCCAGAACUGCCUUUGAUACUGGCGAUCUUGAGUCCGGGAGAGGUGAGUGGAACUGCGAGUGUAGAGGUGAAAUGCGCAGAUAUCAGGAGGAACAUCGGUGGCGAAGGCGGGUCUCUGGGCCGAUACUGACGCUGAGGAGCGAAAGCGUGGGGAGCGAACAGG
rnacentral:rRNA from 1 species